rnacentral:tRNA from 1 species
GUGGGUGUAGGAAUGAGUAAAGUCAUUGAGCUGCCACUUAAAACUUGUAAAUUAUGGGCUGGAGAGACGCCCAGAGGACCUGGGUUCAAGUCCCAGCACCCACA